CUCCGGGUGAUCCCGCCCGGACCCGACUGCUAUCAGAGUGGGACUAAGCCAUGCGAGUCAACAUAGCAAUAUGUGGCAUACGGCUCAGUAACACGUAGUCAACAUGCCCAGGGGACGUGGAUAACCUCGGGAAACUGAGGAUAAACCGCGAUAAGUCACUACUUCUGGAAUGGGUAAUGACUCAAAUCUACAUGGCCCCUGGAUUGGACUGCGGCCGAUCAGGCUGUUGGUGAGGUAAUGGCCCACCAAACCUGUAACCGGUACGGGCUCUGAGAGGAGGAGCCCGGAGAUGGGCACUGAGACAAGGGCCCAGGCCCUAUGGGGCGCAGCAGGCGCGAAACCUCUGCAAUAGGCGAAAGCCUGACAGGGUUACUCUGAGUGAUUUCCGUUAAGGAGAUCUUUUGGCACCUCUAAAAAUGGUGCAGAAUAAGGGGUGGGCAAGUCUGGUGUCAGCCGCCGCGGUAAUACCAGCACCCCGAGUGGUCGGGACGUUUAUUGGGCCUAAAGCAUCCGUAGCCGGUUCUACAAGUCUUCCGUUAAAUCCACCUGCUUAACAGAUGGGCUGCGGAAGAUACUAUAGAGCUAGGAGGCGGGAGAGGCAAGCGGUACUCGAUGGGUAGGGGUAAAAUCCGUUGAUCCAUUGAAGACCACCAGUGGCGAAGGCGGCUUGCCAGAACGCGCUCGACGGUGAGGGAUGAAAGCUGGGGGAGCAAACCGGAUUAGAUACCCGGGUAGUCCCAGCUGUAAACGAUGCAGACUCGGUGAUGAGUUGACUUCUUGCCAACUCAGUGCCGCAGGGAAGCCGUUAAGUUUGCCGCCUGGGGAGUACGGUCGCAAGACUGAAACUUAAAGGAAUUGGCGGGGGGAGCA
rnacentral:rRNA from 1 species